GGCGAGCGGGUGGCGGAGGCUUUUAUAAACCGGGCGGCGGAGGAAGACGACGGAUUCAUCCGACCCGAAUCCCCGCAGAGGGGGGGUUACCGUCUUCCCGGGCUCCGCCAGCGGCAGUUUCCGGCGGCCUCCGGCGGGGGGGAAUACUCCGGCGAGCGGCGCCGCUAGGGCGUGUGACCGUGCUGGGAGAGCCGGCGAAGGUGUUUAUCUCGCCUCCUUCGGAAUCGUGCUGCUUCGAGAUCUCCGCCUCCACCGGUUGGCCAGGGACUCUUCGUCUGAGAGGAUCAGGCGGGGUGGAGGUUGUUUGCGGUGGGAAGCUGCUUCCGGCGAGGAGAGAGGGGGCUCCCUGGCUUCCGUGUGUGGCCGUUUUUUGUGCGCGAUUUGCGUCGGUGAUUCCUAGUCUUGGGGAGGAAGCAAGCGUGGUGGGGGAAUAAGGAUACUUUUUUUUUUUUUUUUGCUCUCUCGCUCUCUCUCUCUGAGAGUUUUUUGAAUUUGGAGUUCCUUCUUUGCCUCGGGAGGUAGUUUGGCACUGCGAUUUCCGGGGGCUGCCGUUUCCUUGAAGUUACCUGAAGAAGAAGAAGAGAGAAAGAAGGAAGAAAGACAUUAGGGUGGAGAAGUAGACGGCUUCGUGAGAUCGGGGUCUGGUUUUUCUUCGUGGUCUUAAUUGAUUUCGUGAGCUGUUCUUGAGGGGAGAUUCCUCUGGCGUCGCAUCCUUUUUUGAUUGGGAUAUCAUGAUUUAGGGCUGUUGGGACUCGCUUAGAUUCAUUAAUUUCCUCCACUUUUGCUCGUUUAGGAUAAAUUGAUUCUUUGUCGGAUUCCCCUCCCCGUUACUUCCAUUCUUUCUUUGAUUCCCUUCCUCCGGCAGGACACCUGCGAUUUCCCUCAAUCUUCCGAGGAAAACAGCACCUCUGCUGCCGCCGCCGCCUCCUCCUCCUCCUCCUCCUCCUCCUCCUGAUCCUUCUUCUUGUUCAGAGGCCGCUAACACAGCUCCAGAAGCUGGGCUUUCACCUCCUCGUUGUGUUGGAAUCGAAAUUGGGUCUCUGAAGAUGGCUGUGGCUUUCACCCGUGUGUCCCUGUGGCUGUGGGGGGCGGGAGGCGGCAAGGACCACCACCGCGAGGCCCCCUCCGCCGCCGGUUCCCCCAUGAACGCCUCGUCGGACUUCGGCUUCCGGGAUCUGGAGAACAACAUCAAGCACCCACAGACGAAGGGGGCCAAGAUGAGGUCGGCCAGGCCCCGUCGAAAGUGGCAGAGCAGGGAGGAGCGAUGGAGGAAGGUGGACAGGGAGUUCGACGUCGUC
rnacentral:lncRNA from 1 species